GAGCGGGAAAAGCUCAAAUUUAAAAUCUGGCGGUCAUGCCGUCCGAGUUGUAAUCUGGAGAAGCGUUUUCCGCGUCGGACCGUGUACAAGUCUUCUGGAACGGAGCGUCAUAGAGGGUGAGAAUCCCGUCUCUGACACGGACUACCGAUGCUUUUGUGAUGCGCUCUCGAAGAGUCGAGUUGUUUGGGAAUGCAGCUCAAAAUGGGAGGUAAAUUCCUUCUAAAGCUAAAUAUUGGCUAGAGACCGAUAGCGAACAAGUACCGUGAGGGAAAGAUGAAAAGCACUUUGGAAAGAGAGUUAAACAGUACGUGAAAUUGUUGAAAGGGAAACGCUUGAAGUCAGUCGCGUUGGCCGAGACUCAGCCUGGCUUGCCUGGUGUACUUCUCGGUCGACGGGUCAGCAUCAGUUUUGACCGUCGGAUAAAGGUUGGAGGAAUGUGGCAUCUCUCGGGAUGUGUUAUAGCCUCUGAUUCGCAUACGGCGAUUGGGACUGAGGAACUCAGCACGCCUUUACGGUCGGGGUUCGCCCACGCAACGUGCUUAGGAUGCUGGCAUAAUGGCUUUAAGCGACCCGUCUUGAAACACGGACCAAGGAGUCUAACAUGCCCGCGAGUGUUUGGGUGUCAAACCCGAGCGCGUAAUGAAAGUGAAAGUUGAGAUCCCUGUCGUG
rnacentral:rRNA from 1 species